CAUCUACACAAGGGAAUACUAUUCAGAUAUUAAAAACAAAAACAUGAUGAAUUUUGCAGGCAAAUAGGUGGAACUUGAGAAUAUCAUCCUGAGUGAGGACUCUCCUAACUGAAUUCCAUAGUGGUUCUUCCAGUUUUCAUUGCUACCAGUUUGCAGUAUAAGGAUUCCUCUUUUGCACAUACUCACCAACACUGGUUGUUUGCUGGACAACAACCAAGCUUGCUUGAUGAUGGCUGUUCUGACUAUGAUGAAAUGGAAUCUCAAGGUUCUUUUCUGGAUUAAACUCAAAUCUCAAGUUCCACGCCUUCCAUGGUAAAAAAGGAUCUGAAAAGCUUUGCUCCGAGUCUACUCCAUGCUUCUGUUCAGCAGACAGACUGGUAACUGACGGCCAUGGUAGAGACGGCAGGCACAGCUGGCUAGGUCUCAUGGUUCAAGAAGGAGAAAAGAUAUCAAUGAUCGUAAUCAGCACUGGAUGCUUCAUAAUACCAAACUGACUUGCCAAGCAAGAUGUGAUUCUUGGGGCAAUCAUGGCAUGAUUGUUGUGGAGUUAACCAACUACUCUAGAGGAGUUCUGCUUCCAGAUGUAAACCCUGAGUGAAAUUCUGGCAUAUAUGCCCAGGAAGCCUGUGGAAAAGUAGACAAGGCAAAUGCUUUUUUUGGAAAAGACCUAAGUGCCACCAAGGGAAAAUGGAUACACUUAAUAGCUUAGUUGUACACAACAGAGUACUAUUAUUUAGUAGUAAAAAUAAAAAUCAAUUGGAGAUACGUCUGCCAAUAUGAAUAUGGACCACAAAUAUAAGGAACAUAUGAUCUGUUACUCCUGAGCUAUUGUUCCUGUGGUGAAGAGUGUUCCAAUCCUUAGAGCAUCAUUGUUUAGUGAAUGUAACUGUUCUAACCAAUUUAAUUGAAGGGCAAGACUAUCAACAUCCUUUAUUUGAGAAAGCACAAGUUAGCAUACUCCUACCCUUAGGAGUUGAGAAAUAAAUGGAGCAGCAAUUCGAUGCUGGCUUAAUUGUGAGAACAAGUCCAGCUGGUGGAAGAUUUUUCAGUUGCGUUUCAGCAAAUGAGGAGCUCCUGUUCUGCCACAUGCAUUAGAGAACGCUUUCCUGCUACUCCAUCCAGUGAUACCAUAAAAAUUUUCAUGAGAAA
rnacentral:lncRNA from 1 species